AUGUUCUCCUCCUCUCUGCUACUGCUGCUGCUAGUAGAUGUAAACAGUGUCCAGUGUCAGGUUUUCACACAGUCUGAGCAAUCAGCGGUUGUGUCUCCAGGUGGAACCCAGAAACUCACCUGUGCCUGCAGUGGAUUUGCUCUGUCAAGCUACAGGAUGCACUGGGUCCGUCUGGCUCCCGGAAAAGGACUGGAAUGGAUCAUGCACCACUACUCAGAGUCUGAUAAAGGAGCGGCCCAGUCAGUGCAGGGUCAGUUCACAGCAUCCAAGGACAGCUCUAAUUUCUACCUUCAUAUGAACCAACUGAAGACUGACGACACAGCAGUUUAUUACUGUGCUAGAGAUUCACUGUGA